rnacentral:rRNA from 1 species
UACAGAGGUGGCAAGCGUUGUUCGGAAUUACUGGGCGUAAAGGGCGCGUAGGCGGUCUUGCAAGUCCUGUGUGAAAUCCCUCGGCUCAACUGAGGAACUGCACAGGAAACUGCUUGGCUUGAGUUCGGGAGAGGGAAGCGGAAUUCCGGGUGUAGCGGUGAAAUGACGUAGAUAUCCGGAGGAACACCGGUGGCGAAGGCGGCUCCUGGACCGACACUGACGCUGAGGCGCGAAAGCUAGGGGAGCAAACGGG